GAUGAACGCUGGCGGCGUGCCUAAUACAUGCAAGUCGAGCGAACGGACGAGAAGCUUGCUUCUCUGAUGUUAGCGGCGGACGGGUGAGUAACACGUGGAUAACCUACCUAUAAGACUGGGAUAACUUCGGGAAACCGGAGCUAAUACCGGAUAAUAUUUUGAACCGCAUGGUUCAAAAGUGAAAGACGGUCUUGCUGUCACUUAUAGAUGGAUCCGCGCUGCAUUAGCUAGUUGGUAAGGUAACGGCUUACCAAGGCAACGAUGCAUAGCCGACCUGAGAGGGUGAUCGGCCACACUGGAACUGAGACACGGUCCAGACUCCUACGGGAGGCAGCAGUAGGGAAUCUUCCGCAAUGGGCGAAAGCCUGACGGAGCAACGCCGCGUGAGUGAUGAAGGUCUUCGGAUCGUAAAACUCUGUUAUUAGGGAAGAACAUAUGUGUAAGUAACUGUGCACAUCUUGACGGUACCUAAUCAGAAAGCCACGGCUAACUACGUGCCAGCAGCCGCGGUAAUACGUAGGUGGCAAGCGUUAUCCGGAAUUAUUGGGCGUAAAGCGCGCGUAGGCGGUUUUUUAAGUCUGAUGUGAAAGCCCACGGCUCAACCGUGGAGGGUCAUUGGAAACUGGAAAACUUGAGUGCAGAAGAGGAAAGUGGAAUUCCAUGUGUAGCGGUGAAAUGCGCAGAGAUAUGGAGGAACACCAGUGGCGAAGGCGACUUUCUGGUCUGUAACUGACGCUGAUGUGCGAAAGCGUGGGGAUCAAACAGGAUUAGAUACCCUGGUAGUCCACGCCGUAAACGAUGAGUGCUAAGUGUUAGGGGGUUUCCGCCCCUUAGUGCUGCAGCUAACGCAUUAAGCACUCCGCCUGGGGAGUACGACCGCAAGGUUGAAACUCAAAGGAAUUGACGGGGACCCGCACAAGCGGUGGAGCAUGUGGUUUAAUUCGAAGCAACGCGAAGAACCUUACCAAAUCUUGACAUCCUUUGACAACUCUAGAGAUAGAGCUUUCCCCUUCGGGGGACAAAGUGACAGGUGGUGCAUGGUUGUCGUCAGCUCGUGUCGUGAGAUGUUGGGUUAAGUCCCGCAACGAGCGCAACCCUUAAGCUUAGUUGCCAUCAUUAAGUUGGGCACUCUAAGUUGACUGCCGGUGACAAACCGGAGGAAGGUGGGGAUGACGUCAAAUCAUCAUGCCCCUUAUGAUUUGGGCUACACACGUGCCACGAUGGACAAUACAAAGGGCAGCGAAACCGUGAGGUCAAGCAAAUCCCAUAAAGUUGUUCUCAGUUCGGAUUGUAGUCUGCAACUCGACUACAUGAAGCUGGAAUCGCUAGUAAUCGUAGAUCAGCAUGCUACGGUGAAUACGUUCCCGGGUCU
rnacentral:rRNA from 1 species